AAUUAUUCCGUGUCCCAUUGGACUCUCAAAGGACCCACUGGACAUUCAGGAAGAAAGCUACGUUGCCUUUGGAACCUCUAAAGUCGGGAGAGACAUUCCAAUUUCCCUUCUGGCCUGGAGGAACACAAGCUUAAUGUAGCUUGCAGGAAGCCUGAUUUCAGCUAGCUUUAACACCCCCAGAAGGAGUUCAAAUGUGAAAGAACAGCACUUUCCCUUUUAGGAGGCCCAUCUUAUCACAGACAACAGGGGAGAAGAAAAGAACAUGUGGUAUUGAAAAUUGUGUCCUCUGCCUUGAGAAGCCAUGGAGGAUGUGAGCAGUCAACCCUGAUCAAACAAGCUGCCCUGGAGACAGACCCACACAGCAAGGAACUAAGGAUGUCCUCUAGCCAAUGGUCAGCGAGGAACUGAGACUCUGCUCAGUAGCCCACAGGAAACUGAAUCCUCCCAACCACCAUGUGAGAGAGCGUGGGAGGCGGGACCCUCUGAAUUCCAGCCUUAAGAUGACUGCAGCCCCAGCCU
ensembl:lncRNA